rnacentral:rRNA from 1 species
AGAGUUUGAUCCUGGCUCAGGACGAACGCUGGCGGCGUGCUUAACACAUGCAAGUCACGGGGGCCCGCAAGGGCAACCGGCGAACGGGUGCGUAACACGUGAGCAAUCUGCCGAUCUCUGGGGGAUAGCCGGCCCAACGGCCGGGUAAUACCGCAUACGCUCAUCGGGGGGAUUCCCCUGGUGAGGAAACCUCCGGGGGAGAUCGAGGAGCUCGCGACCUAUCAGCUUGUUGGCGGGGUAAUGGCCCACCAAGGCUACGACGGGUAGCUGGUCUGAGAGGAUGGCCAGCCACAUUGGGACUGCGACACGGCCCAGACUCCUACGGGAGGCAGCAGUGGGGAAUAUUGCGCAAUGGACGAAAGUCUGACGCAGCGACGCCGCGUGUGGGAUGAAGCCUUUCGGGGUGUAAACCACUGUUGCCCGGGACGAAACUCUCCUUUCGAGGAGAUUGACGGUACCGGGUGAGGAAGCACCGGCUAACUCUGUGCCAGCAGCCGCGGUAAUACAGAGGGUGCGAGCGUUGUCCGGAAUCACUGGGCGUAAAGGGCGCGUAGGUGGCGAGAUAAGCGUGUGGUGAAAGCCCGGGGCUCAACCCCGGGUCUGCCAUGCGGACUGUCUCGCUCGAGCGUAGUAGAGGCAGGUGGAAUUCCGGGUGUAGCGGUGGAAUGCGUAGAGAUCCGGAAGAACACCGGUGGCGAAGGCGGCCUGCUGGGCUACUGCUGACACUGAGGCGCGACAGCGUGGGGAGCAAACAGGAUUAGAUACCCUGGUAGUCCACGCCGUAAACGAUGGGUACUAGGUGUCUGGGGGAGCGACCCCCUGGGUGCCGGCGCUAACGCAUGAAGUACCCCGCCUGGGGAGUACGGCCGCAAGGCUGAAACUCAAAGAAAUUGACGGGGCCCGCACAAGCGGUGGAGCAUGUGGUUUAAUUCGACGCAACGCGAAGAACCUUACCUGGGUUUGACAUGCUGGAGAAAGCUCGCAGAAACGUGAGCCCUCUUCGGAGUUCCAGCA